GUCGGGCUGGCUGAGCCACCCGGCUCGGCCCGGUGGCCCCAGGGGCCUCCACCCGGGCCUCCGAGAAGAGCGGGGACGGGACCGCCCGGCUCGCCCGCCUCCCUCCCCAGCCCGCGCGGUCGGCCGCGGCCACCUUAGGCCUUCCCGGGCGGCGGGACGGACAGACGGACGGGCCCGCGGGGCUGAGGGGCGGCCGGGGAGGGAGCGGGCGUGCGCGGCUGGCCGGGGACGGCGCUUUUUCACCGUUAGCGUCGUUAUGUGGUUACCUGUGCGCGGCAGGGCUCCCCAGCUCCUACUCCCUGAUCCUCCUCCCCUCCUUCCUCUCUCUCUCUCUGUUUCUCACUCUCUCGCUCUCUGUGUGUCUCCCCCUCAGUCUGCCGGGCUCUCGUGGAACCUGAAGGGCGGGAGGUGGCGGCGGUGACCGGCAGGCACGUGACCACGCUCGCGCCGUCACGGCGUCCGUCCGCCUGCCUCCCUCCCGGCGCUCCACCUCUGCUAACCCGGGGCCGGUGCGCAGGCGCGCGGCCGGCGGGGCGAGCCGGCGGGCGGGGCUCGGGGCCGCCCGGGGCUGGGGUCUGGGCUGGGACGGAGCGACGGGGUCGGACCGCGCGUAGGGCCUCCGCCCUUCCUGUGCGGCCACCGCAAGUCCCGGCCGCCGGCUUCCCAGAGUGGGGCUGGCGAGCAGCGAAGUCUGCUCGGGGAAGGUCCUGGGAGUCUGGCGCUCCUGCCCAGGGACACCUGUAAAUGGCCUUCCCGUCGCCACUGGGCCGCAGCUGUGCAGAAAUCAUCGACUUGCUGUACGACUAAGCAGAAUAUUAUUAUGCGAUGAAAAGUACUGCAGCACUCUGAAGACCCCUGUGGAAGGCCUCACCCUCCCUGGGGAGCAGAAAGGUGUCUCUGCAUGUUUGUGAACAGUUGUUAGCUGAAGUUGCAGUCCAUCUGUGUUUGCAGCCUCCAGGGGUUGGUAGCAAAGGUGUAUUCUGGGAGGAGAAGUUUGUUGUAGUCAUUUUUCUAUUUCUGUAAUAAAACACCAUGACCAAGGCAACUACUGUCUUAGUUAGGGUUUUAUUACCAUUAAGAGACACCAUGAUACCUGGGCAGUACACACCUUUAAGAAGUGACAGUGAGCCACUAGGUCUGGCUUGAGCUUCUGAGACCUCAAAGUCCACCUCUGGUGACACACGUCCUCCAACAAGGCAAUGUCUCCUAAUAAUGCCAACAAGAAUACACUUGUUAAUCCUUCCCAAAUAGCCACCAAAGUGGAAACCAAGAAUUCAAAUGGC
rnacentral:lncRNA from 1 species